rnacentral:rRNA from 1 species
UUUUUUAAGAGUUUGAUCCUAGCUCAGAAUGAACGCUGGCGACGUGGAUAAGGCAUGCAAGUCAAGGGGGCCCGCAAGGGCAACCGGCAGACGAGGUAGUAAUACGUAGGUACGAACCUUUUAGUUGGGUAUAGCUCGUCGAAAGACGGGGUAAUCCUCAAUAGUUCCCUUCGGGGUAAAGUCGCAAGACGCUAAAAGAUCGGCCUGCGGGGUAUCAGCUAGUUGGUAAGGUAACGGCUUACCAAGGCUAUGACGCCUAGGGGAGGUGAGAGCCUGACCCCCACCGAUGGUACUGAGAUACGGACCAUACACCUACGGGUGGCUGCAGUCGAGAAUCUUCCACAAUGGGCGAAAGCCUGAUGGAGCGACGUCGCGUGAUUGAUGAAGUCCCACUGGGAUGUAAAAAUCUUUUAUAGAGGAGAAAGCUCCGUUUACGGAGUGUGAUAGUACUUUAUGAAUAAGGGGUUGCUAAACUCGUGCCAGCAGCAGCGGUAAUACGAGUGCCCCGAGCGUUAUUCGGAAUUAUUGGGCGUAAAGGGUGUGUAGGCGGUCUUGUUAGUCUUUUGUUAAAGCUCCCGGCUUAACCGGGAAAAUGCAAGGGAAACGGCAAGACUGGAGGGUGCAAGAGGCUUAUAGAACUCAUGGUGUAGGGGUGAAAUCCGUUAAUAUCAUGGGGAAUACCGAAGGCGAAGGCAGUAAGCUGGUGCACAUCUGACGCUGAAACACGAAAGCGUAGGUAGCGAAUGGGAUUAGAUACCCCAGUAGUCUACGCCCUAAACGAUGAUCACUGGUUUUUCGGAGUAUCGACCCUCUGAGAGACGAAGCUAACGCGUUAAGUGAUCCGCCUGGGUAGUACGACCGCAAGGUUAAAACUCAAAGGAAUAGACGGGGACU